rnacentral:rRNA from 1 species
GCCGGGGCGCGGGCGCCGGCGGCCUUGGUGACUCUAGAUAACCCGCGGGCCGAUCGCACGCCCCCCGUGGCGGCGACGAACCCAUUCGAACGUCUGCCCUAUCAACUUUCGAUGGUAGUCGCCGUGCCUACCAUGGUGACCACGGGUGAACGGGGAAUCAGGGUUCGAUUCCGGAGAGGGAGCCUGAGAAACGGCUACCACAUCCAAGGAAGGCAGCAGGCGCGCAAAUUACCCACUCCCGACCCGGGGAGUAGUGACGAAAAAUAACAAUACAGGACUCUUUCAGGCCCUGUAAAUUGGAUGAGUCCCACUUUAAAUCCUUUUAACGAGGAUCCAUUGGAGGGCAAGUCUGGUGCCAGCAGCCGCGGUAAUUCCAGCUCCAAUUAGGUAUAUUAAAGUUGCUGCAGUUUUUGGAUCUUGGGAGCGGGCGGGCGGUCCGCCGGAGGCGAGCCACCGCCCGUCCCCGCCCCUUGCCUCUCGGCGCCCCCUCGAUCUCUUGCUGAGUGUCCGCGGGGCCCGAAGCGUUUACUUUGAAAAAAUUAGAGUGUUCAAAGCAGGCCCGAGCCGGCCUGGAUACACCGAGCUAGGAAUAAUGGAAUAGGACCGCGGUUUCUAUUUUUGUUGGUUUUCGAACCGAGGCCAUGAUUAAGAGGGACGGGGGCAUUCGUUUGCGCGCUAGAGGGUGAAAUUCUUGGACCCGGCGCAAGAAGGACCAGAGCGAAAGCAUUUGCCAAGAAUGCCAGAGCGAAAGCAUUUGCCAAGAAUGUUUUCAUUAAUCAAAGAACGAAAGUCGGAGGUUCGAAGACGAUCAGAACCGUCGUAGUUCCGACCAUAAACGAUGCCGACUGGGCGUGCGGCGGCGUUAUUCCCAUGACCCGGCGAUGCGGCGGCGUUAUCCCCAAAGCCGCCGGCGGCCGGCGCCCCGGCCGGGGGCCGGGGAGGGGCUGACCGGGUUGGUUUGAUCUGAUAAAUGCACGCAUCCCCCCCCCGCGAAGGGGGUCAGCGCCUCGGCAUGUAUUAGCUCUAGAAUUACCACAGUUAUCCAAGUAGGAGAGGAGCAGCGACCAAAGGAACCAAACUGAUUUAAUGAGCCAUUCGCAGUUUCACUGUACCGGCCGUGCGUACUUAGACAUGCAUGGCUUAAUCUUUGAGACAAGCAUAGCCGCCGGCGCCCGCGCCCCCGCCCGAAAC